rnacentral:rRNA from 1 species
GACGAACGCUGGCGGCGUGCUUAACACAUGCAAGUCGAACGGUGAUACUCCAGCUUGCUGGUGUGGAUCAGUGGCGAACGGGUGAGUAACACGUGAGCAACCUGCCCUAAACUUUCGAGUAGGAUCAGGAAGGGAGACUUAAGCCAGUAUCGGAAACGGCCCACCGGGGAAAGGAUUGGAAAGUUUUUCCGUUUUGGGUUGGAUGGGCGGCUUAUGGGCUUGUUGGUGGGGGAGGGGCUGGCCAAGGCAAGGACGGGUCCCCGGCCGGAGAGGGGGACCGGCGACCCUGGGACUGAGACACGGCGCAGACGCCUACGGGAGGCAGCAGUGGGGAAUAUUGCACAGUGGGCGCACGCCUGAUGCAGCGACGCCGCGUGAGGGAUGACGGCCUUCGGGUUGUAAACCUCUGUCAGCAGGGAAGAAGCGAUAGUGACGGUACCUGAAGAAGAAGCACCGGCUAACUACGUG